rnacentral:rRNA from 1 species
AUUGAACGCUGGCGGCAGGCUUAACACAUGCAAGUCGAGCGAGCGGCGGACGGGUGAGUAAUGGCUGGGAAACUGCCUGAUGGAGGGGGAUAACUACUGGAAACGGUAGCUAAUACCGCAUACCAUCAGAUGUGCCCAGAUGGGAUUAGCUAGUAGGUGGGGUAAGGGGUCACCUAGGCGACGAGCCCUAGCUGGGCUGAGAGGCUGACCAGCCACACGGGAACUGAGACACGGUCCAGACUCCUACGGGAGGCAGCAGUGGGGAAUAUUGCACAAUGGGCGCAAGCCGGAUGCAGCAAUGCCGCGUGUGUGAAGAAGGCCUUCGGGUUGUAAAGCACUGUCAGCGAGGAGGCGUUACCCGCAGAAGAAGCACCGGCUAACUACGUGCCAGCCGCCGCGGUAAUAC